AUUGAACGCUGGCGGCAGGCCUAACACAUGCAAGUCGAACGAGUGGCGGACGGGUGAGUAAUGUCUGGGAAACUGCCUGAUGGAGGGGGAUAACUACUGGAAACGGUAGCUAAUACCGCAUAACAUCAGAUGUGCCCAGUUGGGAUUAGCUUGGUGGUGGGGUAACGGGUCACCAAGGCGACGAUCCCUAGCUGGUGUGAGAGGAUGACCAGACACGCUGGAACUGAGACACGGUCCGAACGCCUACGGGUGGCAGCCGUGGGUCCUAUUGCAAUCUGGGCGAAAGCCUGAUGCAGCCAUGCCGCGUGUAUGAAUAGGAUCUUCUGAUUGUAAAGUACUUUAAGCGGGGAGGCGUUACCCGCAGAAGAAGCACCGGCUAACUCCGUGCCAGCAGCCGCGGUAAUAC
rnacentral:rRNA from 1 species